rnacentral:rRNA from 1 species
AUACGGGGGGAGCAAGCGUUAAUGGGAAUUACUGGGCGUAAAGCGCGCGUAGGCGGUUUGCUCAGUCGGAUGUGAAAGCCCAGGGCUCAACCUUGGAACUGCAUACGAUACUGGCAAACUAGAGUGUGAGAGAGGAUAGUGGAAUUUCCGGUGUAGCGGUGAAAUGCGUAGAUAUCGGAAGGAACAUCAGUGGCGAAGGCGACUGUCUGGCUCAACACUGACGCUGAGGUGCGAAAGCGUGGGUAGCAAACAGGAUUAGAAACCCUAGUAGUCC